GGGGACAAGAAUGGGGCACCCCAGAACUCUAUCAAAGCUUGAGGUAAAGAGCAUUUGGGAUUAAAGGAUGACUUCAUCAGUUUGAGAUACUAAAACUUAUGUUUGAUGACCCACUUCAGGUGUUGGAUGGAAGUGUGUUAUUUACACAAGGGAGAAAACAACUUGGAUCUUGGGUGCUCCUAUAACACUUUUUGGUCUAAAUUUCUACACAAAUCUGCCAAUUAGGUAUGUCAAGACUUCAUUUGAAUGUUCUUCCUUUUUGGUCUAAAUUUUUAUAACUAUUACUUGAACCAUGUAUGAGAUAGAAAAUGUUUUGCUCAAUUGUGGAGC